rnacentral:rRNA from 1 species
GCGGUGGAGCAUGUGGUUUAAUUCGAAGCAACGCGAAGAACCUUACCAGGUCUUGACAUCCCUGACAACCCGAGAGAUCGGGCGUUCCCCUUCGGGGGACAGGGUGACAGGUGGUGCAUGGUUGUCGUCAGCUCGUGUCGUGAGAUGUUGGGUUAAGUCCCGCAACGAGCGCAACCCUCGACCUUAGUUGCCAGCAUUCAGUUGGGCACUCUAAGGUGACUGCCGGCUAAAAGUCGGAGGAAGGUGGGAUGACGUCAAAUCAUCAUGCCCCUUAUGACCUGGGCUACACACGUGCUACAAUGGGCGGUACAAAGGGUCGCGAACCCGCGAGGGGGAGCCAAUCCCAAAAAGCCGCUCUCAGUUCGGAUUGCAGGCUGCAACUCGCCUGCAUGAAGCCGGAAUCGCUAGUAAUCGCGGAUCAGCAUGCCGCGGUGAAUACGUUCCCGGGCCUUGU